UGGGGGGUCGUCCAACGGCAGGACUCGAGACUUUGAAUCUCGCUAUCUGGGUCCGAAUCCCAGCCCCCCAG
rnacentral:tRNA from 1 species